rnacentral:rRNA from 1 species
UUUUUAUUAAGAGUUUGAUCCUGGCUCAGGAUGAACGCUGGCGGCGUGCCUAACACAUGCAAGUCGAGCGA